GUUAGGGUGCAGAGCCCGGUAACUGCNUAAAACUUAAACCUUUACUAU
rnacentral:tRNA from 1 species